rnacentral:rRNA from 11 species
UAAUGUAGCCAUAGUGUCUAAAGGCACCAGAUCUAGUCUGAUCUUGGAAGCCAAGCAGGAUCGACCCUGGUUAAUACUUGGAUGAGAGACUGGCAAUGAAUACUAUGUGCUGUGGGCUACAUUUC